UGGAAGUAAAAAGUCGUAACAAGGUCUCCGUUGGUGAACCAGCGGAGGGAUCAUUACCGAGUUUACAACUCCCAAACCCAAUGUGAACGUUACCAAACUGUUGCCUCGGCGGGAUCUCUGCCCCGGGUGCGUCGCAGCCCCGGACCAAGGCGCCCGCCGGAGGACCAACCAAAACUCUUAUUGUAUACCCCCUCGCGGGUUUUUUACUAUCUGAGCCAUCUCGGCGCCCCUCGUGGGCGUUUCGAAAAUGAAUCAAAACUUUCAACAACGGAUCUCUUGGUUCUGGCAUCGAUGAAGAACGCAGCGAAAUGCGAUAAGUAAUGUGAAUUGCAGAAUUCAGUGAAUCAUCGAAUCUUUGAACGCACAUUGCGCCCGCCAGUAUUCUGGCGGGCAUGCCUGUCCGAGCGUCAUUUCAACCCUCGAACCCCUCCGGGGGGUCGGCGUUGGGGAUCGGCCCUUUACGGGGCCGGCCCCGAAAUACAGUGGCGGUCUCGCCGCAGCCUCUCCUGCGCAGUAGUUUGCACACUCGCAUCGGGAGCGCGGCGCGUCCACAGCCGUUAAACACCCCAAACUUCUGAAAUGUGACCUCGGAUCAGGUAGAAU
rnacentral:rRNA from 1 species